UGGCGAAGGGGUCGUCCACCCAAGUGGCUUUCGUGAAAUUCUUCCCCAAUCAUUUCUGCCACAAUCCCUUCCCCUGUGCUCAAGACCUUUCAUGCCUCGCCUACACGCUGUGCCUGGGUGUGAUGCUGGGGUUCGAACCCUCGUGCUUUGUGCAGGCUUUGGCAAGAGCUCGGCCGCAGAGCUGCAUCUCUACACUGCACUCCAGCUAAAGGGGCUGGCUGGCUGUGAACCUUUCAAGGAGUAACCGAUGCUAUAGUAAUGAAGCGGUGAAGACUGAUUGGAGAGGGGGUCAGGAGCUCCAUGAGGGGACACGCGGAGAGGUGGGAGAGCUAGCUGUGUGUGACUAGACUCCUCUGGACUCUUCCUUCCCAGUCAAAGUCUGACCCACAUGCCAACAGAGAAAGUUGGGUAGGUGGGUGAAUGAGUGUUGGGGGCUGCAGAGAGCUGAUUCUGAAUCCCUCACAGGAAGUAGAAAAUGAGGAAGACUGGAGGAAGGCUCCAACCACCAUUUGAAGCAAAAAGGAUUUUAAAGGAUUAUGUAUUUAAAAGUCAUGGAAUGUAAGAGUUUGAGAACUCCUUUCACCUCUCAACCAGGCAGCUAAAAAUUGAUGAAUUCCUCCUGCCAUCCCUCACAUGAUGAGACUGUUAGUACUUCAUAGAAGAUGGAGAUGUGGGAUCCCCCCUCCCCGCAACUGAAUGAAAAACAAGACUCAAGCCCAGACUUGAAUUGCCACCCCUCACCAAGAGCUCCUAAACUUUCAGGGGGUCUCUGCCUAACAGUGAGAAAAUCAAGCCCUCUCCUUUACAGAUUCCAGCCCUCCAGCAUUCUGAAAUAGAAACUCUCUAGUUGAUUUUUUAAAAUACAGACGUUGCCAUGGAAACAUACUGUUAAAAAAAUAACAUAAAUGAAUUAUAAACAUUCAAGUAUUUCUAAAGGUUUGCAUAAAAACAGCAGCAAUUAAAUUUUUUAAAAAAAUGUAAA